rnacentral:lncRNA from 1 species
UUUUUUUUUUUUUUGGUUUUGGGGGGGGGGGGGGUGGGUUUGGAAGGAGGAGAAGAACAGCAGCAGGAGGGAGGAGAUCUUUUACUCUCUUUUUUCACAAAAAGAAAAAGAUCAUUUACUGAAAUCCCUUUAGAAAUAUUUAAUUGGUUAUAAUUUGUGGAUUUUGAGUCAAUUGAGCAAUUGAGAAAAGCAGCAGCAGGAGGGAGGAAUAUUUCUUCCCCAUACUUAUUUAUUAAAGUUUCUCUAGAAAUAUUUCAUUGGUUGUAAUGAAAUAUUAAAAUUUUAUAGACCAAAUUUCAGGGUGCCCAUAUUUUGUAAUUACUUCAUGUUCUCUCAAAACUUAAUUGACUACGAGCAUAGAAAAUCUAGAAUACUUGACAUAGUAACUAACAAGGAUCUUUAAAGAUCGUACCCAGUGCACAAGGCUCCCGCUUUACGCAGGGUCUAGGAGAGGUGAAUGUCGGCUAGCCUUACCCCCAUUUAUGGAGAGGCUGCUCCCAAGUCUCGAACCCGAGGCCUACCGCUCAUGGGCGAAGGCUAACAAGGAUCUUUAAUGAAAAAAAAUUUUGAGGUAGAGAACUGGAGAGUUGGUAUGCAAAGCACUGAUCAAUUAGUAAAACUCUCCCCCACAAAUGAUGGAGGUGGGCUGUGGUUUGGGGAAACAUGUGUUUUCAGAUAUCUUUAAGGUAAGCAGACCAAGAAACUAGAAUUCGUGGACCAUGCUACAACUUUAGUAAAAAGAAAAUAGCAACUAGAAUAGGAAGAGAAAGUAUGAGUUUCAAGUUAGGGAUUUCAAUAUUAGUAUAAUUAGCUGCAAACAAACACCACUGAGGAUCCUUGGUAUUGCGAAACUCAAAGUCAAAUGAAAGCUAUCAAGAAUCAUUUGUGUUUAGCCAAAAUAAAGAUGCCCUGAUGGCCAUCUGAGGAAUAUACUUACUUUGCAAAUCCCUUGGUGUCUUCAAACUCAAAGUCAUAAGCAUAUGUCGCAUAAGAAUCACAACAGAUAAUGUGUUGAACAUUCUCAUACUGUGGAUCCGGAAAGAAAUGACCAUACUGCAAAAUAAACAAACGAUAUAUGAUAAGAAAAUGAUAAAAUUGUAACCCUAAAAUGAAACGACAAGACACUCACAGAGUGGCCAGUUUUGAAUUCAGAUGAGGUCCUCAAUCGCAGUACACAACCAAAAGCAUAUGGCCGACUUAGCAUUCGGUACCUGCAAAUAAUGCAUAGGACAAUCAUCAUAACCUAGAAAUUCGAACUACUACUCUCUACAAUAUUAAGAAUUGACGAAAAUCUAUAUUGUUUGUCAUUUAUUUUAUGGAUGAAGAAGUCCACUGUAUUAAAUGUAUUGAUAAAACGUGUUUACUUAUAUAAAUAAUAAACAUAAGUCGUCCAUCAAAUUAUUCAUAAUAUUUAAAACCCAAUGUGUCUCCAAUUUACAUAAUCACACACAGACAUGUAUGCAAGUCAAAAUAAUACCGCACUAUUUUUUGAGGUAUGCUCAUGAGAAAGGGAAAUGCUAGGGAGAUUAAAUUUGUAGACAAAAUUUGCAAACUAAAUGAUGUGUCACCAAUAGAAAUAAGCACGUGUAUCAACGCUUAAGUAAUAAUCCAAUCAUCAACUUCCACGUCAUUUAGGUUACAAAAUUUUGUUUACAACUUAGUCUCCCUAGCAUUACCCGAAUGAGAAAAAUGGGGAAGAGUUUGAGAGGCAUUUUGGGAUUUUGGGGCCUGAUGGGCUCAAGGCUUAUGACCUUACUGUCAACUAAAAAGAAAAAACAACUAUUUGUAACAUUUUAAGGGCCCAUUUUGUGCAAUAUUUACACAUAGAGAGAGGCAGGCCUUGUGGGUUGCGUUGUGCGUGGUUGAAGCAUGCCAAAUUAAGACUAUUAUUCAAUUUGAUUUGAAGCAUGCCAGAUUGGGCUGUUGUCAAACUAAUACCACUGUAUUUUCUGAGGUAUACUCACAUGUCCUGAGGAAGAGUUGAGUCAUCAGUGUUCGAAUAUAAAUACAAUGAGCCUCCACUGUCUACACUUAGAAACUUCAAAGACGCCAAAUCUGUAUACUCAUUUGUAACAGCAAAAAUGUCCACGCAAACACCUGCUUGAACAGCGACAGCAGCCUGUAAAAUAUGUCAAUGCUUAGGUUUCCAAAAAAAUCCCCAGCAUACAGCAACAAAGAUACGGAAGAUUAAACUACCAGAUCUCUGUAGAAUGGUGUCUGCUCAGGAAGCAAUGCACGGUCCGCAUCCUCUCCCUUACUAGCAUAUUGUUCACCAUAACGUCUUGUAUCUAGUUGCCCAGCUCCAUAAUCAGGAGGACCAGACAAAAAGGCAAAGACUCUACCUGCAGUUACAUUCAAAGGAGGAGACAACAAACCUACGUCAUGAUUUUACAUUGUCUGAUGAUAUGAAGAAGAUUUGAAACACUACUCAUAGGUAUAGUUGUUGGACCAAAUAUUACAAUUUUAUUAGCUACGAAAUUCAUCUCCUCACCUAAUGCAAAUGUACUUCCAUACUCAGAUCCAAGGUAGUUCAAAAGUGCUUCCAUUGCCACCCCAAACCCUCGCCCGCCCAUCAAAACACCAUCAAUUCCUUGACCAGCUGCUGUAGUUCUCUCCCAUGAAGUUGUUGGUCUGAGCGUUUCAAGUGCAGAUCCAAUACGGUCCUUACAAGUUUCCACCUGGAAGGAAGUUACUGAAUUUAGCUAACAAACCAAAAAUAUAUAUACCACCGUGAAUUUGGGUGCAGAGAAAUAUAUUGCACAAAAAGAAGAUAAAAGUCAUUAAACACUGUGGCUGACAUACUGGAGCCAAAAACUGUAACAAUGGCAUGACAUCUUCAAGCUCAAUUGGUAGGGUACCGUCUGUUUCCGGUGGAAUGAAAACAUUCUUUACAACUGGUAUAGGUCCUUGAACAUCAUACAACCCUAAUUUGUGGCUAAAAGUAGCAAGACCAAACAGAGAACCGGGCCCAAGAGCUGUAAAAAGAAGAUUGAAUGAGAGAAUUUAGUUGUCAGGUACAGCAUCAUGAAGAAAUGAAACAAAUAAAAUCUAUUUCAAGUAGCAAUUAUCAACCAACCUUCCAAGGAGGCCAGCAAUGCACUUUUAAUAAGUUCCAAAAAUUCUUCUGAAGCUGAAGUAAAAUCCAUAAAACAUAAAUGUCACUGAUUUGAAAAUAAAUAACCAAUUAAAAAUAAAUAACAUCUCAAGAAGAGAAUUCACAGAUUAGAUGCAUAAAAGAUACAUGGCCAGAAGAUCUUUCUCAUAUUGUAACUCUUUAACUAGAUCUUUAGGCUUUGAUUUUUGAAGAACUCAAAGCCAAGUGAAGGAAACAUUUGAUUAGAUAUGAUACAACUAACUAUUUCCUAUACAAUGAUGGAGUCCAAGGAUUUCCUCAUCCAUGUAGCCCAACCAAAAACAUUGAAACUAUCAACAUCGACCACUAUGUCAAUAUAGCCGACAAUGUGCUUACAUUUCCAUUCCAGGUGCAACUACAAUGCUUGAACACUUAAAUUAAUGUUCCUUGUCAAUUCCAAAUGGUCUCCUACAAAUAUGUGUUUUUUAAUCAUCUAUAUUAAAGUCCUUGAGAAUUUUUUGCUUAGCUGGCAAGCAUGGAAGAACGAUGCAAACAAAACGCAUGUAAAAACGUUAAAUCUCAAAGAUCCAAGUAUCGAAUUAAGUUCUCCAAAGUUCAUAUGUAUAGCCUUGGAAAUACAGUCAUGUGAGUCUUUCAAAUAAUACCCUCCAAAAUAAGCAUUUUGAAAUACAUAAUUGUUAAUUUAAAACGAAAUGAACCAGAUGGUGGCGAUCCAAACAUGUUCAAGAGUUGACACCCUCACCCAUAUCCAAACCUGAACAGCACCUUUCUAAUUCAUGAAAAGGUAACAGUAAUCGAAAGAAAAACUUCUGGAUCUAGUGACAUGUAUACUCAUGACAUUAAGCUUCGAAUUCUAUAUCCUAGAAUACGUAUCCCCAACUAAACCCACAUAUCAACCAUUACGAGAAAUUACAGCAUCCAAAAAAAAGCAGAGAAAUGAGUUGGACAGAACCUAAUUGGAUACCAAUUCUCAUUGUCAACAACAACAAUGCGGCCCAACAACAUGACUAGAAAUCAUCAACCUUAUUUCGAGGACAAUUAUCCCAAAUUAUACAGAUGAAUGGCCAUUAUCCAAUGUGAUCCACUGUAAUCAUCCAGUACAUACAUUACAACUUCCUCCAAAUGAAUGACCAAUACUUCAACCACUUAC